CUGGGCCCAUUGGAGCUGACGACUAUAUCGAAGGACCCUAGUGGCCGCAUCCCAUCUCACCACCUCGACAAUCUUUGAUAAUCUCCUGCACUCGACGAUUAAUUUGUUCCUUUCUUCAACGUGAGCCUUAUCCCUUAGCCAAAUAGCUAUCCGACGAUGCUCGACCUCCACUAAAGCCUCCCUGACUUCGAUAAGCUCCCUCUUCCAACUCAAAAUCUUUUUUCUUCAUGCUCUCACCUUCCUCUCCAGU
rnacentral:lncRNA from 1 species